CAGCACCUCAAGUGGUCAGGAUGAUUAUUGGGCCUAAAGCAUCCGUAGCCGGCGCUGUAAGUUUUCGGUUAAAUCUGUACGCUCAACGUACAGGCUGCCGGGAAUACUGCAGAGCUAGGGAGUGGGAGAGGUAGACGGUACUCGGUAGGAAGGGGUAAAAUCCUUUGAUCUAUUGAUGACCAUCUGUGGCGAAGGCGGUCUACCAGAACACGUCCGACGGUGAGGGAUGAAAGCUGGGGGAGCAAACCGGAUUAGAUACCCGAGUAGUCC
rnacentral:rRNA from 1 species